rnacentral:rRNA from 1 species
UCUUGCGCAAUGGGCGAAAGCCUGACGCAGCGACGCCGCGUGGGGGAGGAAGGGCUUCGGCUUGUAAACCCCUGUUGCCCGGGACGAACCGCUUCUUUCGAGAAGCCUGACGGUACCGGGUGAGGAAGCACCGGCUAACUCCGUGCCAGCAGCCGCGGUAAUACGGAGGGUGCGAGCGUUGUCCGGAAUCACUGGGCGUAAAGGGCGCGUAGGCGGUUGCUUAAGCGUGUGGUGAAAGCCCGGGGCUCAACUCCGGGUCGGCCAUGCGAACUGGGCGACUUGAGCACUGUAGAGGCAGGUGGAAUUCCGGGUGUAGCGGUGGAAUGCGUAGAGAUCCGGAAGAACACCGGUGGCGAAGGCGGCCUGCUGGGCAGUAGCUGACGCUGAGGCGCGACAGCGUGGGGAGCAAAC